GACGAACGCUGGCGGCGUGCUUAACACAUGCAAGUCGAACGGAAAGGCCUCUUUCGGGGGGUACUCGAGUGGCGAACGGGUGAGUAACACGUGAGUAACCUGCCCUUUACUUUGGGAUAACUUCAGGAAACUGGGGCUAAUACCGGAUAGGAGCUCCUGCUGCAUGGUGGGGGUUGGAAAGUUUCGGCGGUUGGGGAUGGACUCGCGGCUUAUCAGCUUGUUGGUGGGGUAGUGGCUUACCAAGGCUUUGACGGGUAGCCGGCCUGAGAGGGUGACCGGCCACAUUGGGAAUGAGAUACGGCCCAGACUCCUACGGGAGGCAGCAGUGGGGAAUAUUGCACAAUGGGUGGAAGCCUGAUGCAGCAACGCCGUGUGCGGGAUGACGGCCUUCGGGUUGUAAACCGCUUUCGCUCAUGACGAAGCUUUGUGUGACGGUAGUGGGUAAAGAAGCACCGGCUAACUACGUG
rnacentral:rRNA from 1 species